GACGAACGCUGGCGGCGUGCCUAAUACAUGCAAGUAGAACGCUGAAGAGAGGAGCUUGCUCUUCUUGGAUGAGUUGCGAACGGGUGAGUAACGCGUAGGUAACCUGCCUUGUAGCGGGGGAUAACUAUUGGAAACGAUAGCUAAUACCGCAUAACAAUGGAUGCCACAUGUCAUUUAUUUGAAAGGGGCAAUUGCUCAAAUACAAGAUGGACCUGCGUUGUAUUAGCUAGUAGGUGAGGUAAUGGCUCACCUAGGCGACGAUACAUAGCCGACCUGAGAGGGUGCUCGGCCACACUGGGACUGAGACACGGCCCAGACUCCUACGGGAGGCAGCAGUAGGGAAUCUUCGGCAAUGGGGGCAACCCUGACCGAGCAACGCCGCGUGAGUGAAGAAGGUUUUCGGAUCGUAAAGCUCUGUUGUAAGUCAAGAACGGGUGUGAGAGUGGAAAGUUCACACUGUGACGGUAGCUUACCAGAAAGGGACGGCUAACUACGUG
rnacentral:rRNA from 1 species